rnacentral:rRNA from 1 species
ACGGAGCACGCCGCGUGAGUGAUGAAGGCUUUCGGGUCGUAAAACUCUGUUGUUAGGGAAGAACAAGUGCUAGUUGAAUAAGCUGGCACCUUGACGGUACCUAACCAGAAAGCCACGGCUAACUACGUGCCAGCAGCCGCGGUAAU